GAGUUUGAUCCUGGCUCAGAUUGAACGCUGGCGGCACGCCUUACACAUGCAAGUCGAACGGCAGCACGGAGCUUGCUCUGGUGGCGAGUGGCGAACGGGUGAGUAAUAUAUCGGAACGUACCCUAGAGUGGGGGAUAACGUAGCGAAAGUUACGCUAAUACCGCAUACGAUCUAAGGAUGAAAGUGGGGGAUCGCAAGACCUCAUGCUCGUGGAGCGGCCGAUAUCUGAUUAGCUAGUUGGUAGGGUAAAAGCCUACCAAGGCAUCGAUCAGUAGCUGGUCUGAGAGGACGACCAGCCACACUGGAACUGAGACACGGUCCAGACUCCUACGGGAGGCAGCAGUGGGGAAUUUUGGACAAUGGGCGAAAGCCUGAUCCAGCAAUGCCGCGUGAGUGAAGAAGGCCUUCGGGUUGUAAAGCUCUUUUGUCAGGGAAGAAACGGUGAGAGCUAAUAUCUUUUGCUAAUGACGGUACCUGAAGAAU
rnacentral:rRNA from 1 species